AUGAAGAGGCUGCUGUGCUCUCUGCUGGGGCUGCUGUGCACCCAGGUUUGCUGGGUGAAAGGUCAACAAGUGAAGCAGAGUCCUGUGUCCUUGGUUCUGCAGGAGGGAGAGCGUGCAGAGCUGCAGUGCAACUUUUCCACCAUAGCAACCCAAGUGCAGUGGUUUCACCAAAGUCCUGGGGGACACCUCGUCAGCCUGUUUUCCAAUCCUUCUGGAACAAAGCAGAUUGGAAGACUGACAUCCACGACAGUAGCUAAAGAAUAUCGAAGUUCUCUGUACAUCUCCUCCUCCCAGACCACAGACUCAGGCACUUAUUUCUGUGUUGUGGAACCACAGUGCUCCCCACACACCUGCAGUCAGUACACAAACCUUCAGCUGGAUUUACAACCUCAGACAUCUGUGGUGCAGUUUGAAGGGAAAUCAGCAGAGGGCGCUGCCUCUUCAAGUGGUUAA